rnacentral:rRNA from 1 species
UACGUGGGGUGCAAGCAUUAAUCGGAUUUAUUGGGCGUAAAGGGUGCGUAGGCGGAUCAGUAAGUGGGAUGUGAAAUCCCGGGGCUCAACCUCGGAACUGCAUUCCAUACUGCUGAUCUUGAGGGUAGACGGGGAGAAUAGAAUUCCACAUGUAGCGGUGAAAUGCGUAGAUAUGUGGAAGAAUACCGGUGGCGUAGGCGAUUCUCUAGUUUAUACCUGACGCUGAGGCACGAAAGCUGGGGGAGCAAACAGG